GGAAAAAGUAUGUGAACCCCUAGACUAAUGACAUCUCCAAGAGCUAAUUGGAGUGAGAUGUAAUCCAACUGGAGUCCAAUCAAUGAGAUGAGAUUGGAGGUGCUGGUUACAGCUGCCCUGCCCUAUAAAAAACACACACCGGGGGGGCGGGGCCGGGCCGCCGAGCCGGCUGGACGCCACAUGCAUGGGCUCCAGCUCUAGGCUCGUGAAACGGAUUCAAAAAGCCGACAUAGACCGCUGCAAUGCCGGAACAGUCGCUCCCGCUGCAUGGAGAGGGUUACCAGCUUCAGCCCGAUACCCCGCAGGAGGCACAACACGCACCGGGUGAGCGGAAACAGACACCUUCGGCCUGCAAGCCGACACAGGCCUGUCCUCGUGCUCCCAGGCACCGCGGAGAGGCACUUUGCGGGAAAGGGAAAAACCACAUGAACUAUACCCCGGCUCGGGGCACGGCCCCGCUCCCCCCCGGACCGGUGGGGGUUAUCCCGGCAUCAUGGCGGCGGCCCGCACAGUGGCGGGAGAUCCCGCGCUAGGCCUAUGCCGCCUGCCUACACUAGCAACGGCUGAAAGGGAAAAAACAGCCAGCUAGCAGAUAUGGACGCUGCCAGGAACGCACCCUAAUACAGAAUAAAGGGGCACAAGCAACCAUUGGAUGGGGCACUACAACCCACAUGAAGCCCCAAUUUGGAAGGCUGCCGAUGAGAAUCCUGCAUAAAAGGCUACUACCAUUAAUAUCCCCCAGGAAACCAGAUGAGCGGCUUGAGCACCAACAGAGGCACAUACCAUGUUGGGUUACCGCGGACUUUUGCAGAGAUGGACCCACAGAUGCCCACCCUCGGGUGACCGGUGUGCUGGUAGGGAACCGGUCGGACCCUUUGAACUUGGUGGUGAUUCAGAGGACUUUUCCCCUGACUCAGUGAGCCCUGUGGGACCGGUAGACGUAGACCCUCCGGUGAACCGGUAGCCGGGCAUUGGUACCAAGUAUGAGACCGGAGCCAGGCGAGGCAUGGACUGACUGGGAAUCGGGGAGGUGCAGGGGACGGGUGGCAGGUGGAUUCUACGUGGGGGGGAUCUGCUAGUCUGCCCACGCAACCGAGUGCCCACGGCGCCACGGAUCUACCCACUGACGGACCGGAGUUUGCCCAGGGUGGAGGCACAAGAGGGUCCCCCAGACACAGAGGUGCCCACGGGCCCCAAAUGUGGAUGGCCCAACCUAACUUGAUAACAUCUAGGACUCAUUUAGCCAAAAGCGUAGUCGUCCAGAACAGCCAUGCCCCGGU